rnacentral:rRNA from 1 species
ACGGGAGAGUAAUACAUCGGAACGUGCCCAGUCGUGGGGGAUAACUACUCGAAAGAGUAGCUAAUACCGCAUACGAUCUGAGGAUGAAAGCGGGGGACCUUCGGGCCUCGCGCGAUUGGAGCGGCCGAUGGCAGAUUAGGUAGUUGGUGGGAUAAAAGCUUACCAAGCCGACGAUCUGUAGCUGGUCUGAGAGGACGACCAGCCACACUGGGACUGAGACACGGCCCAGACUCCUACGGGAGGCAGCAGUGGGGAAUUUUGGACAAUGGGCGAAAGCCUGAUCCAGCAAUGCCGCGUGCAGGAUGAAGGCCUUCGGGUUGUAAACUGCUUUUGUACGGAACGAAAAAGCUUCUCCUAAUACGAGAGGCCCAUGACGGUACCGUAAGAAUAAGCACCGGCUAACUACGUGCCAGCAGCCGCGGUAAUACGUAGGGUGCAAGCGUUAAUCGGAAUUACUGGGCGUAAAGCGUGCGCAGGCGGUUAUGUAAGACAGAUGUGAAAUCCCCGGGCUCAACCUGGGAACUGCAUUUGUGACUGCAUGGCUAGAGUACGGUAGAGGGGGAUGGAAUUCCGCGUGUAGCAGUGAAAUG